CCAAUAGCGUAUAUUAAAGUUGUUGCAGUUAAAAAGCUCGUAGUUGAAUUUCGGGAUCAAGGAAUCGGUCAUGCCUUGGUAUGUACUGGUUUUAUUGGUUCUCACCUUCUAAAGAACCAUAAUGUCAUUUAUUUGAUGUUAUGGGGAAUUAGGACUGUUACCUUGAAAAAAUUAGAGUGUUUAAAGCACGCUUACGCUUGAAUACAUUAGCAUGGAAUAUUGCAAUAGGACAUCCGAUUCUAUUUUGUUGGUUUCUAGGAUCGACGUAAUGAUUAAUAGGGAUAGUUGGGGGCAUUAGUAUUCAAUUGUCAGAGGUGAAAUUCUUGGAUUUAUUGAAGACUAACUACUGCGAAAGCAUUUGCCAAGGAUGUUUUCAUUAAUCAAGAACGAAAGUUAGGGGAUCGAAGACGAUCAGAUACCGUCGUAGUCUUAACCAUAAACUAUGCCGACUAGGGAUCGGAUGAUGUUAAUUUUUUAAUGACUCAUUCGGCGCCUUACG
rnacentral:rRNA from 1 species